rnacentral:rRNA from 1 species
AACGCGUGAGGAACCUGCCUUGGAGAGGGGGAGUAACACUCCGAAAGGAGUGCUAAUACGCAUGAUGCAGUUGGGUCGCAUGGCUCUGACUGCCAAAGAUUUAUCGCUCUGAGAUGGCCUCGCGUCUGAUUAGCUAGUAGGUGGGGUAACGGCCCACCUAGGCGACGAUCAGUAGCCGGACUGAGAGGUUGACCGGCCACAUUGGGACUGAGACACGGCCCAGACUCCUACGGGAGGCAGCAUG